CAGCCAUGCCGCGUGCAGGAAGACGGCCCUAUGGGUUGUAAACUGCUUUUGCAGGGGAAUAAACCUCGAUACGUGUAUCGAGCUGAAUGUACUCUGAGAAUAAGGAUCGGCUAACUCCGUGCCAGCAGCCGCGGUAAUACGGAGGAUCCAAGCGUUAUCCGGAUUUAUUGGGUUUAAAGGGUGCGUAGGUGGCCUGUUAAGUCAGGGGUGAAAGACGGUAGCUUAACUAUCGCAGUGCCCUUGAUACUGAUGGGCUUGAAUGAACUAGAGGUAGGCGGAAUGUGACAAGUAGCGGUGAAAUGCAUAGAUAUGUCACAGAACACCAAUUGCGAAGGCAGCUUACUAUGGUUUUAUUGACACUGAGGCACGAAAGCGUGGGGAUCAAACAGGAUUAGAUACCCUGGUAGUCCACGCCCUAAACGAUGAAUACUCGAUGUUGGCGAUAUACGGUCAGCGUCUAAGCGAAAGCGUUAAGUAUUCCACCUGGGGAGUACGCCCGCAAGGGUGAAACUC
rnacentral:rRNA from 1 species